rnacentral:lncRNA from 1 species
AAGAGGUUGCCAAACUCUUCUUGGGUGGUCAUUGAUUGCACCCAAAUUGCAUUUUAUGAGACUCUCAGAUCCAUUAUCUCUCUUGGUCUUGGGAAGACAGUAGAGGGAGUUGGGAUGGAUUGUUCAGCUCUUUGCAUUACAAAUGUAUCCUGGGUGACAGAGAGGGUGUCCUGCAGUUGCUCCCAUGCUCCCUGACUCUCUUCUCUCUUCUCAUUGUUGUCUCUCUUUAGGCCAGCCCUGUCCAAUGCAAAGGCGAGCCCUGGUUCCAUGGGUGAGGAAGGGAUCUCUGGGUGCUUCCAGGCUGAACCUCUAGUCUGGUAAACAUCUGAAAGCAAACACUCCUCUCCCAUGAGAAUUGGUCUCCUGGAGAGCAUGCCUUUCUGAGUGACAAGUUAGUAUUCUUCUGUUACCCUGAUUUGUAUCCUAUUUGCUGUUAGAUAGCUCUGGUCUUAUUAUGCAAAAGGUGCCUUUCCCCCGUCUUGCCCUGAAUUGUAUUACAAAGCUUCCUCAAAUUAGGAAACAUUAAAAGGUGCCCAGCUCAGCCCAAGCUUCUCCCCUCAUCUUGGAGGAGGAAAGGGGAGCUGUUUCAGUUUAUGCUGCCAUAUAAAGGGCUGUUGUUUGUUUAAGUUGCUGUAUUCCAUCCCUGGCACUGUCUCCAAGCAUGAUACUAUGACGAAGCUUGUUUUUGUU